rnacentral:rRNA from 1 species
AGGAAUAUUGGUCAAUGGGGGCAACCCUGAACCAGCCAUGCCGCGUGCAGGACGACUGCCCUAUGGGUUGUAAACUGCUUUUGUUAGGGAAUACACCCCGCUACGUGUAGCGGGCUGACUGUACCUAAAGAAUAAGGAUCGGCUAACUCCGUGCCAGCAGCCGCGGUAAUACGGAGGAUCCGAGCGUUAUCCGGAUUUAUUGGGUUUAAAGGGUGCGUAGGCGGCACUUUAAGGCAGGGGUGAAAGACGGCAGCUCAACUGUCGCAGUGCCCUUGAUACUGAAGUGCUUGAAUGCGGUUGAAGACGGCGGAAUGAGAAAAGUAGCGGUGAAAUGCAUAGAUAUGUCUCAGAACACCGAUUGCGAAGGCAGCUGUCUAAGCCGUUAUUGACGCUGAUGCACGAAAGCGUGGGGAUCGAAC